AGCAUAUCAAUAAGCGGAGGAAAAGAAACUAACAAGGAUUCCCCUAGUAACUGCGAGUGAAGCGGGAAAAGCUCAAAUUUAAAAUCUGGCGGUCUUUGACCGUCCGAGUUGUAGUCUGGAGAAGUGCUUUCCGCGCUGGACCGUGUACAAGUCUCUUGGAACAGAGCGUCAUAGAGGGUGAGAAUCCCGUCUUUGACACGGACUACCAGUGCUUUGUGAUGCGCUCUCAAAGAGUCGAGUUGUUUGGGAAUGCAGCUCAAAAUGGGUGGUAAAUUCCAUCUAAAGCUAAAUAUUGGCGAGAGACCGAUAGCGAACAAGUACCGUGAGGGAAAGAUGAAAAGCACUUUGGAAAGAGAGUUAAACAGUACGUGAAAUUGCUGAAAGGGAAACGCUUGAAGUCAGUCGCGUUGGCCAGGACUCAGCCUUGCUUUUGCUUGGUGCACUUUCUGGUUGACGGGCCAGCAUCGAUUUUGACCGCUGGAAAAAGGUUGGGGGAAUGUGGCACCUUCGGGUGUGUUAUAGCCCUCAGUCACAUACGGUGGUUGGGAUCGAGGACCGCAGCACGCCUUUAUGGCCGGGGUUCGCCCACGUUCGUGCUUAGGAUGCUGGCGUAAUGGCUUUAAACGACCCGUCUUGAAACACGGACCAAGGAGUCUAACAUGCCUGCGAGUGUUUGGGUGGAAAACCCGAGCGCGUAAUGAAAGUGAAAGUUGAGAUCCCUGUCGCGGGGAGCAUCGACGCCCGGACCUGAACUUCGGUGAUGGCUCUGCGGUAGAGCAUGUAUGUUGGGACCCGAAAGAUGGUGAACUAUGCCUGAAUAGGGUGAAGCCAGAGGAAACUCUGGUGGAGGCUCGUAGCGAUUCUGACGUGCAAAUCGAUCGUCAAAUUUGGGUAUAGGGGCGAAAGACUAAUCGAACCAUCUAGUAGCUGGUUCCUGCCG
rnacentral:rRNA from 2 species